rnacentral:tRNA from 1 species
GGAGAAGUGGCCGAGUGGUNNUUGGAGAGCGUCUGAACCGAGAGGUUCCGUGAGUUCGAAUCUCACCUUCUCCGCCA